rnacentral:rRNA from 1 species
UCUAGCAAAGCCAAGUAAAUCUAAUUUUUAAGAAUUAUUCAAUAAAGGUACAGCUUUAUUGAAAAAGGAAACAACCUAAACCUUAGGAUAAUGAAUAUUUUUAAAUAGGUAAAAGGCCAAGUUGGCCUAAAAGCAGCCAUCUUUAAAGAUAGCGUCAAAGCUUCACCUUAAACACACCUUAAAUCUCAUUAUUUUUUCAUAAUCCAACAAUUCUACUAAGCCAUUCUAUACUUUUAUAGAAAAGUUUAUGUUAGGACUAGUAACACAGAAUAAUUUCUCUUACAUGUAAGUUUAAAUCAACCCGAAUACCUCCUUGAUAAUUACUCAAAUUUGAACCUUAAGUAGUACCUAUUAAUUACAAAAACCCUACUUAACUUAUUGUUAAUCAAACAUAUGGAUAUGAAAGAAAGAUUAAAAAAUUAAGAAGGAACUCGGCAAACACAAGUCCCGCCUGUUUACCAAAAACAUCGCCUUUUGAAAAGUAUAAAAGGUAACGCCUGCCCACUGACAGUAUGUUUAACGGCCGCGGUAUUCUGACCGUGCGAAGGUAGCGUAAUCACUUGUCUUUUAAAUGAAGACUCGUAUGAAAGGCAUCACGAGAACUUAGCUGUCUCCUUAAUUCAAUCAGUGAAACUGAUACCCCUGUAAAAAAGCAGGGAUGAUUACAUAAGACGAGAAGACCCUGUGGAGCUUAAAACAUAAGCUACUUCUAUACUCUACUAACUUAUAGUACUAAAAUACAAACCUAGCCUAAGUUUUCUGUUGGGGCGGCUGUGGAGAAAAACUUAUCCUCCAUGAAGAAAAAACUUUGAUCUACCGCUCUUAGUAUUAGCAAGCCUAACUUAAAUUGAUCCAAUUUUUGAUCAACGGACCAAGUUACCCCAGGGAUAACAGCGCAAUCCAUUUCAAGAGUCCCUAUCGACAAAUGGGUUUACGACCUCGAUGUUGGAUUAGGACAUCCUAGUGGUGUAG